UACGUAGGUGGCAAGCGUUGUCCGGAUUUACUGGGCGUAAAGCGUAUGCAGGCGGAAGCUUAAGUAGGAAGUGAAAGGUUGGAGCUCAACUCUAACACUGCUCCCUAUACUGGGCUUCUUGAGUGCCGGAGAGGACGAGGGAACUGCGCGUGUAGCGGUGAAAUGCGUUGAGAUGUGCAGGAACACCUAUGGCGAAAGCACUCGUCUGGACGGCAACUGACGCUGAGAUACGAAAGCCAAGGGAGCAAACAGG
rnacentral:rRNA from 1 species